AGUGCAGCUGUUUUGGAGCAAGGUCAGGGUGGCAGUCUGCAUGUGGCAGCUGGUCCUCAACUGCAUGCUCAUCCAGCUUCAGGACUGAGGGAUACAGAGGAUGAAACACCAGGCAGGACCAGUCCGCUUGGAUGGAUUCAUCUGACUUGUUGCAGCACACUGAAUUUGCACUUUUGGGUUUAUUUUCAACCGUGGGGAAGGCCUUGUCUGCUGGAAGUAAAACUCAUCCAUGUGUGCUUGGGGUCCUCAUCUGGCUUGAGAUGGCUCUAAGAUGCAGAUGUGUUGCAGAGUCUUUCA